rnacentral:rRNA from 1 species
AACCGGAUUAGAUACCCUGGUAGUACCACGCCGUAAACGAUGUCGACUGGGAGGUUGUUCCCUUGGAGGAGUGGCUUCCGGAGCUAACGGCGUUAAGUCGACCGCCUGGGGAGUACGGCCGCAAGGUUAAAACUCAAAUGAAUUGACGGGGGCCCGCACAAGCGGUGGAGCAUGUGGUUUAAUUCGAUGCAACGCGAAGAACCUUACCUACUCUUGACAUCCAGCGAACUUAGCAGAGAUGCUUUGGUGCCUUCGGGAACGCUGAGACAGGUGCUGCAUGGCUGUCGUCAGCUCGUGUUGUGAAAUGUUGGGUUAAGUCCCGCAACGAGCGCAACCCUUAUCCUUUGUUGCCAGCGAUUCGGUCGGGAACUCAAAGGAGACUGCCGGUGAUAAACCGGAGGAAGGUGGGGAUGACGCCAAGUCAUCAUGGCCCUUACGAGUAGGGCUACACACGUGCUACAAUGGCGCAUACAAAGAGAAGCGACCUCGCGAGAGCAAGCGGACCUCACAAAGUGCGUCGUAGUCCGGAUCGGAGUCUGCAACUCGACUCCG